rnacentral:rRNA from 1 species
UUGCCUCAGUAACGGCGAGUGAAGCGGCAACAGCUCAAAUUUGAAAUCUGGCUCUUUCAGGGUCCGAAUUGUAAUUUGUAGAGGAUGCUUCGGCUUACGCCCCGGUCUAAGUUCCUUGGAACAGGACGUCACAGAGGGUGAGAAUCCCGUUUGUGGCCGGCGGCUUCCGCCAUGUGAAGCUCCUUCGACGAGUCGAGUUGUUUGGGAAUGCAGCUCUAAAUGGGAGGUAUGUUUCUUCUAAAGCUAAAUACCGGCCAGAGACCGAUAGCGCACAAGUAGAGUGAUCGAAAGAUGAAAAGCACUUUGGAAAGAGAGUUAAAAAGUACGUGAAAUUGUUGAAAGGGAAGCGCUUGCAACCAGACUUGCCCGCGGUUGCUCAGCCGGUCCUUCGGCCGGUGCACUCUUCCGCGGUCAGGCCAGCAUCAGUUCGGGCGGUCGGACAAAGGCCUUAGGAAUGUAGCUCUCUUCGGGGAGUGUUAUAGCCUCUGGUGUAAUACGACCCGCCUGGACUGAGGUCCGCGCUUCGGCUAGGAUGCUGGCGUAAUGGUUGUAAGCGGCCCGUCUUGAAACACGGACCAAGGAGUCUAACAUCUAUGCGAGUGUUUGGGUGUCAAACCCGUGCGCGAAAUGAAAGUGAACGGAGGUGGGAACCUUUGGGUGCACCAUCGACCGAUCCUGAUGUCUUCGGAUGGAUUUGAGUAAGAGCAUAGCUGUUGGGACCCGAAAGGUGAGAAUUCAUUUUCCUUAAUAUCCAACCCCCCCCUUCUUUUAUUAUUAUUACCGUCAUGGCCAAAUAGAUAUGAAUGCUAACUUGUUUGGCUUUACAGAUGGUGAACUAUGCCUGAAUAGGGUGAAGCCAGAGGAAACUCUGGUGGAGGCUCGCAGCGGUUCUGACGUGCAAAUCGAUCGUCAAAUUUGGGUAUAGGGGCGAAAGACUAAUCGA